UGGGUGGCGAGUGGCGAACGGGUGAGUAAUAUAUCGGAACGUACCGAGUAAUGGGGGAUAACUAAUCGAAAGAUUAGCUAAUACCGCAUAUUCUCUGAGGAGGAAAGCAGGGGACCUUCGGGCCUUGCGUUAUUCGAGCGGCCGAUAUCUGAUUAGCUAGUUGGUGGGGUAAAGGCCUACCAAGGCGACGAUCAGUAGCGGGUCUGAGAGGAUGAUCCGCCACACUGGGACUGAGACACGGCCCAGACUCCUACGGGAGGCAGCAGUGGGGAAUUUUGGACAAUGGGCGCAAGCCUGAUCCAGCCAUGCCGCGUGUCUGAAGAAGGCCUUCGGGUUGUAAAGGACUUUUGUCAGGGAAGAAAAGGCUGUUGCUAAUACCGACAGCUGAUGACGGUACCUGAAGAAUAAGCACCGGCUAACUACGUGCCAGCAGCCGCGGUAAUACGUAGGGUGCGAGCGUUAAUCGGAAUUACUGGGCGUAAAGCGAGCGCAGACGGUUACUUAAGCAGGAUGUGAAAUCCCCGGGCUCAACCUGGGAACUGCGUUCUGAACUGGGUGACUAGAGUGUGUCAGAGGGAGGUAGAAUUCCACGUGUAGCAGUGAAAUGCGUAGAGAUGUGGAGGAAUACCGAUGGCGAAGGCAGCCUCCUGGGAUAACACUGACGUUCAUGCUCGAAAGCGUGGGUAGCAAACAGGAUUAGAUACCCUGGUAGUCCACGCCCUAAACGAUGUCAAUUAGCUGUUGGGCAACUUGAUUGCUUAGUAGCGU
rnacentral:rRNA from 1 species